GUGUCAGCCGCCGCGGUAAUACGGAGGGUCCGAGCGUUAUCCGGAUUUAUUGGGUUUAAAGGGUGCGUAGGCGGUUUUAUAAGUCAGCGGUGAAAUUUUUCGGCUCAACCGGGAUACUGCCGUUGAUACUGUAAGGCUAGGAUAUGGUUGCUGUGGGUGGAAUGUGUGAUUUAGCGGGUAAAUUCUUAGAGAUCACACAGAAUAUUGAUUGAGAAGGCAGCUCACAAAGCCAUUAUUGAC
rnacentral:rRNA from 1 species